UACGUAGGGUGCGAGCGUUAAUCGGAAUUACUGGGCGUAAAGCGUGCGCAGGCGGUUUUGUAAGCCAGAUGUGAAAUCCCCGGGCUUAACCUGGGAAUGGCAUUUGGGACUGCAAGGCUUGAGUGCGGCAGAGGAGACUGGAAUUCCUGGUGUAGCAGUGAAAUGCGUAGAUAUCGGGAGGAACACCGGUGGCGAAGGCGGUUCUCUGGGCCUGACCUGACGCUGAGGAGCGAAAGCGUGGGGAGCGAACAGG
rnacentral:rRNA from 1 species